rnacentral:rRNA from 1 species
UGGGGAAUAUUGCACAAUGGGCGCAAGCCUGAUGCAGCCAUGCCGCGUGUAUGAAGAAGGCCUUCGGGUUGUAAAGUACUUUCCGCGGGGAGGAAAGGAGUAAAGUUAAUAACUUUGCUCAUUGACGCUACCCGCAGAAGAAGCACCGGCUAACUCCGUGCCAGCAGCCGCGGUAAUACGGAGGGUGCAAGCGUUAAUCGGAAUUACUGGGCGUACAGCGCACGCAGGCGGUCUGUCAAGUCGGAUGUGAAAUCCCCGGGCUCAACCUGGGAACUGCAUUCGAAACUGGCAGGCUAGAGUCUUGUAGAGGGGGGUAGAAUUCCAGGUGUAGCGGUGAAAUGCGUAGAGAUCUGGAGGAAUACCGGUGGCGAAGGCGGCCCCCUGGACAAAGACUGACGCUCAGGUGCGAAAGCGUGGGGAGCAAACAGG